rnacentral:rRNA from 1 species
GUCACGUGGCUAGUGUGUCGAUGAAGAGCGCAGCCCAACUGUGUGAAUUAAUGUGAAAUGUAGCCUGCUUUGAACAUCGACAUCUUGAACGCAAAUUGCGGCCGUAGUUUCUCCUACGGCCACGCCUGUCCGAGGGUCG